GGGAAGGUGGUUCAGUGGUAGAGCGCUUGCCUCACACGUAUGAGGCCCUGGGUUC
rnacentral:tRNA from 1 species